rnacentral:lncRNA from 1 species
CCAAAGGCAUUUCUUUAUUUAUUUCUCUGCUUUAUUUUAAAUUCUUUUGAAAAAAAAAAUAUACCCUCGCUUUGAAAAACGGGGUGUUACAACUGGGAAGUUCAUUAUCAUCUGACAACAUAUCUUUUAAGAGUGUUAAUAAUUUUGUGAAGCUUUUAUCAGACCAUCCAUUACUCGCUUUUAAGUUGUACAACUUUAAUAUCGCCGACAAUCUUGUGAAUUUAGUACAACCAUUAUAUAAUGGUUUCUCUGCAUCACUCAGCAAACUCUCAAACAUUUAAGGACAAUCCUGAAGAUCUUCUUCAACUGCUUUUGCAAUCUCCUCAACUCGAUUCGGCUCAUAUGUAUUUGUGUCGAAAUCAGUUGAAGCAUAUGUCGAACCAUUCUCAAAAUUAAUGUUUCCUUUUUUUUUUCUCACCAUGUCUUAUCCAACAUGUAUAGCUUUGAUCAAUUCCAUGCCAUACUAAGUGUCCUUCCAAUUCAUCUUCUCUAACGCAUUUUCCAAAACAACAUUAUGUGAGGGCGCUUCAAUUUACCGCGCUUUUGAGAAAGCGUUGUAAAAGCCUUGUAAACAUUAUGUGUAAGCGCAGUGUGACCCUAUAUGACCCUAUAACAGUGUUUCUUCCACAACGCUUGUCAAAAAAGCAUUGUUGUAGCAUCCGUUAUUUUUACGUGUAUUACACAACAGCGCUUGUAUUUAUUAAGCGCUAUAAAAGGCGCACUAUAAAAUGUCAUUUUUGAUGUAGUGAAUUAAGUCCUUUGUUUUCUCCUAUUUUUAUAUUAAAAACGUCUCCAACUCAUUUUUUAUUCAAGGUCUAGAUUCAGCUCUCCCCUCGUGUCAUUUGAGAUCCAUUCCUCUCUUUUGCACCAGUAAAAUAAUAAUAAUAAUAAUAAUAAUAAUAAUAAUAAUAAUAAUAAUAAUAAUAAUAAUAAUAAUAAUAAUAAUAAAUGUUUUGAACACACUAGGCCAUUAGCUAUUUAUUGAUAAAUUUGGAGAAAGGGCAUAAUUUAUCUAUCAUGCCACAUAUAUGGUGCUCUGAACUUAUUCAUACAUUAUGUAAUAGAUAUUAAUAUGGUAAAAAUUAUUUAGAAAUGGAUGUGAGAAUUUAGAGAUUGUAAAUUUGUUGCUUCACAUCUGGGGGGCUAGUAGGUUCUGUGGGGCUAGUAGGUUUUGGAAUAAUAGGCCCUUGUUUAGUAGGUUUUGGAAUAGGCUGGUGGGGGAGCUGGGGGGUCUUGGUGGGCUGCGGCUUCUUGGGUGGGAGUAUGCGAACGGUUUUCCAAUUAUUAGCAAGCCCUUGUGGAACAAGUAUAAGAGCAGCAAGGAACAACAUUGGUAACAAAAAGGAAACCAUUUUCAUAACUUGUUUUAAUUUUGGUAUGUAACAUAUAGAGAAUGAACAAGUUUUAUACUAAUUCAAUAGAGUCAUUUAUUAUAACUCUUGAAAAUAUU